rnacentral:rRNA from 1 species
UACGUAGGUGGCGAGCGUUGUCCGGAAUUACUGGGUGUAAAGGGCGUGUAGGCGGGACGGUAAGUCAGAUGUGAAAUUCCGAGCUUAACUUCGGCGCUGCAUCUGAAACUAUCGUUCUUGAGUGCUGGAGAGGAAAGCGGAAUUCCUAGUGUAGCGGUGAAAUGCGUAGAUAUCGUAAGGAAGACCAGUGGCGAAGGCGGGUCUCUGGACAGUUCCUGACGCUGAGGCACGAAGGCCAGGGGAGCAAACGGG